rnacentral:rRNA from 1 species
GACAGAGGAGGCAAGCGUUAUCCGGAAUUAUUGGGCGUAAAGCGUCCGUAGGUGGUUUGGCAAGUCUGGGGUUAAAGCCCGGAGCCUAACUCCGGAUCGGCCCUGGAAACUGCCAGACUAGAGUAAGGUAGGGGUUGCGGGAAUUCCCGGUGUAGCGGUGAAAUGCGUAGAUAUCGGGAAGAUCACCAGUGGCGAAAGCGCGCAACUGGGCCAUUACUGACACUGAGGGACGAGAGCUAGGGGAGUGAAUGGG